rnacentral:misc_RNA from 1 species
AACUUUCAGCAAUGGAUCACUUGGUUCUCGCAACGAUGAAGAACGCAGCGAAAUGCGAUACGUAAUGUGAAUUGCAGGUUUUCGUGAAUCAUCGAAUCUUUGAACGCACAUUGCACCCUCUGGUAUUCCGGAGGGUAUGCCUGUUUGAGCGUCAUUUCUCUCUCAAAUCCCCCUCGGGGUUUUUUGGUAUUGAGUGAUACUCUACUUGUGUUAACUUGAAAUACGGUUUUGGCAAGGGUGUGUUGGAUUUUUCAACCGUCGUCCUCGAUAAUGUAUUAGGUUCUACCAACUCCGUUAUAGUGUGAUGUCUGAUUGUGCCAACAUGUUAAGCUCGGCCUAACAAUAUAUUCUCUAAGUUUGACCUCAAAUCAGGUAGGACUACCCGCUGAACUUAAGCAUAUCAAUAAGCGGAGGCU